rnacentral:rRNA from 1 species
CCUACGGGAGGCAGCAGUGGGGAAUAUUGCUCAAUGGGGGAAACCCUGAAGCAGCGACGCCGCGUGGGGGAUGAAGGUUUUCGGAUUGUAAACCCCUUUUGUCAGAGAAGAAAAUGACGGUAUCUAACGAAUAAGCACCGGCUAACUCCGUGCCAGCAGCCGCGGUAAUACGGAGGGGGCAAGCGUUAUUCGGAUUCACUGGGCGUAAAGAGCGCGUAGGCGGGAUAGCAAGUCAGAUGUGAAAUCCUAUGGCUUAACCAUAGAACUGCAUUUGAAACUGUUAAUCUGGAGUAUGGGAGAGGUAGGUGGAAUUCUUGGUGUAGGGGUAAAAUGCGUAGAGAUCAGGAGGAAUACUCGUUGCGAAGGCGACCUGCUAGAACAUAACUGACGCUGAUGCGCGAAAGCGUGGGGAGCAAACAGGAUUAGAUACCCCGGUAGUC